ensembl:lncRNA
UGGUGGCGCUCUACAGCUAUGAACAAGACAAACCGGAAGAAACUGAGCUUUCAGGAAGGAGACGUGAUCUACCUGACCAGGAGGAACGAUGACGGCUGGUGCGAGGGCGUCCUGAACGGCGUGAACGGGUUCUUCCCCGGAAACUACGUAGCGACCAUGAGCUAAAUGAGAACGAUUUAUGGCAAAACAUCAGUACGCGGAUUAAAAAAACAACAUAUAUAUAUAUAUAUAUAUAUAUAUAUAUAUAUAUAUAUAUACAUAUCUAGCAAAAGGAUGAUUGGUGGUAUUCAGAGAUAUGCAAAUGUAUGUUUGAUUACUGUGUAUAUGAGACAAACUGAUUCGAUAAAAUUCUAAAUGCGCCGUCUGCCUGUGUUUCUCACUAUCAUCGUGGUUCUUUUUUCAUUAACACUGAAAUAACUGAAGUAUUUAUUAACACCAACUAACAGACGGAUGAACCCGAGUCAAUCGAGAGAGGCAUCGCGCUCACGUGAGAGCACCACUUUCCCAGAAUGCUUUGCUGUGGCGUGUUUCCUUUUUGUUUAAAAAAAAAAAAAAACAAAAACGGCGGAUGAUGUGUAAACCAGCUGGGUCGUCUUCGUUAAUAAAAUGUCUGUACGUGGAACUGGACGAGUUCGCUCUGGGAGUCGAGUCCGAUCUGUUUUUUUACACUUCACGUGUUACGUUUGACGCUCUUUUUUUCACGUGUACGGUAGUGCAUCGUUUAGUUUUACUCUUUAAACAGCACCUCUGGAGGAAGUUUGUGAGAAAAGGAAAGAAUUUCCGAUGUUUUUAUUUUUAUUUACUGGGAUUGCAGUUCAUCUUACAUGCAGCAGAGGGCGUGAAAAACGACACGUCGCUGGUUUUAAAGGUCCCAGCGUGUGAGUGUGAAGGACAGUGCUGUGAUUUCAGGAUAAAUAUCCGGGAUAAGUGUUAUGACUGCUACUAGAGGAUGGAAAAUAAACAACAGACAUGUUCUAACAGCUGAUAAAGAGUGUGUGUGUGUGUGUGUGUGUGUAACCUCCGUGCUUGGGCGCUCAGGAACGAGCCUAACCUGCCUUACAGUCUUUAUUUUGAAGACACCGCGAGAGCAGGCACUGUGACUUUAACCAGCACGAUGUGGUAAUAAACACUCAGGUGUGUGUAGCCAAGAGUGCACUUCUUCAUGAUAAGACUCCCUCGACGUCUGAGUACCGGGCCAGACGAGAUCACCUGCUCACCUGCUCACCUGCGGCCCUUCAGCAGAUCCCCCGAAAGACGUCGCCACAUCUGC